UCUCUGUGAUGAUGAACAAUUGAUGACGAGUCCGAAUAAUUUCCAUUCAUAACCCUGACGACAUAUUGAGGCAUUUGUCUGAGAGGA
rnacentral:snoRNA from 1 species